GUUGAAACAACAGUUCCUGAAUGAUCACCGAAGUUAAGCAACAUCGAGCCUGAUCAGUACUUAAAUUGGUCACCGCCUGGGAAUACCAGGUGCU